rnacentral:rRNA from 1 species
UACGGGGGGGGCAAGCGUUGUUCGGAAUUACUGGGCGUAAAGGGCUCGUAGGCGGCCAACUAAGUCGGAUGUGAAAUCCCCAGGCUCAACUUGGGAACUGCAUCCGAUACUGAUUGGCUUGAAUCCGGGAGAGGGAUGCAGAAUUCCAGGUGUAGCGGUGAAAUGCGCAGAUAUCGGGAAGAACACCGGCGGCGAAAGCGGAUCCCUGGGCCUUGACUGACGCUAAGACUCGAAAGCUAGGGGAGCAAACAGG